GUGAACGCUGGCGGUAGGCCUCACCCCUGCAAGUCGCACGGCAGCACAGUAAGAGCUUGCUCUUACGGGUGGCGAGUGGCGGACGGGUGAGGAAUACAUCGGAAUCUACUUUUUCGUGGGGGAUAACGUAGGGAAACUUACGCUAAUACCGCAUACGACCUACGGGUGAAAGCAGGGGAUCUUCGGACCUUGCGCGAUUGAAUGAGCCGAUGUCGGAUUAGCUAGUUGGCGGGGUAAAGGCCCACCAAGGCGACGAUCCGUAGCUGGUCUGAGAGGAUGAUCAGCCACGCUGGAACUGAGACACGGUCCAGACUCCUACGGGAGGCAGCAGUGGGGAAUAUUGGACAAUGGGCGCAAGCCUGAUCCAGCCAUACCGCGUGGGUGAAGAAGGCCUUCGGGUUGUAAAGCCCUUUUGUUGGGAAAGAAAAGCAGCAGGUUAAUACCCCGCUGUUCUGACGGUACCCAAAGAAUAAGCACCGGCUAACUUCGUG
rnacentral:rRNA from 1 species